rnacentral:rRNA from 1 species
CAGGCUUAACACAUGCAAGUCGAGGGGCAUCAGGAAGAAAGCUUGCUUUCUUUGCUGGCGACCGGCGCACGGGUGAGUAACACGUAUCCAACCUGCCCUUUACUCGGGGAUAGCCUUUCGAAAGAAAGAUUAAUACCCGAUGGCAUAAUGAUUCCGCAUGGUUUCAUUAUUAAAGGAUUCCGGUAAAGGAUGGGGAUGCGUUCCAUUAGGUUGUUGGUGAGGUAACGGCCCACCAAGCCUUCGAUGGAUAGGGGUUCUGAGAGGAAGGUCCCCCACAUUGGAACUGAGACACGGUCCAAACUCCUACGGGAGGCAGCAGUGAGGAAUAUUGGUCAAUGGGCGGUAGCCUGAACCAGCCAAGUAGCGUGAAGGAUGAAGGCUCUAUGGGUCGUAAACUUCUUUUAUAUAAGAAUAAAGUGCAGUAUGUAUACUGUUUUGUAUGUAUUAUAUGAAUAAGGAUCGGCUAACUCCGUGCCAGCAGCCGCGGUAAUACGGAGGAUCCGAGCGUUAUCCGGAUUUAUUGGGUUUAAAGGGAGCGUAGGUGGACUGGUAAGUCAGUUGUGAAAGUUUGCGGCUCAACCGUAAAAUUGCAGUUGAUACUGUCAGUCUUGAGUACAGUAGAGGUGGGCGGAAUUCGUGGUGUAGCGGUGAAAUGCUUAGAUAUCACGAAGAACUCCGAUUGCGAAGGCAGCUCACUGGACUGCAACUGACACUGAUGCUCGAAAGUGUGGGUAUCAAACAGGAUUAGAUACCCCUGGUAGUCCACACAGUAAACGAUGAAUACUCGCUGUUUGCGAUAUACAGUAAGCGGCCAAGCGAAAGCAUUAAGUAUUCCACCUGGGGAGUACGCCGGCAACGGUGAAACUCAAAGGAAUUGACGGGGGCCCGCACAAGCGGAGGAACAUGUGGUUUAAUUCGAUGAUACGCGAGGAACCUUACCCGGGCUUAAAUUGCAGUGGAAUGAUGUGGAAACAUGUCAGUGAGCAAUCACCGCUGUGAAGGUGCUGCAUGGUUGUCGUCAGCUCGUGCCGUGAGGUGUCGGCUUAAGUGCCAUAACGAGCGCAACCCUUAUCUUCAGUUACUAACAGGUCAUGCUGAGGACUCUGGAGAGACUGCCGUCGUAAGAUGUGAGGAAGGUGGGGAUGACGUCAAAUCAGCACGGCCCUUACGUCCGGGGCUACACACGUGUUACAAUGGGGGGUACAGAAGGCAGCUAGCGGGUGACCGUAUGCUAAUCCCAAAAGCCUCUCUCAGUUCGGAUCGAAGUCUGCAACCCGACUUCGUGAAGCUGGAUUCGCUAGUAAUCGCGCAUCAGCCACGGCGCGGUGAAUACGUUCCCGGGCCUUGUACACACCGCCCGUCAAGCCAUGGGAGCCGGGGGUACCUGAAGUACGUAACCACAAGGAUCGUCCUAGGGUAAAACUGGUGACUGGGGC